rnacentral:rRNA from 1 species
UACGUAGGGGGCGAGCGUUGUCCGGAUUUAUUGGGCGUAAAACGCUUGUAGGCGGCCACCGCGCGUCGGACGUGAAAUCUCCCGGCUCAACUGGGAGGGGUCGUGCGAUACGGCGGGGCUCGAGGCCGGUAGGGGGACGCGGAAUUCCCGGUGUAGUGGUGGAAUGCGUAGAUAUCAGGAGGAACACCAAUGGCGAAGGCAGCUCGCUGGGACGUGACUGACGCUGAGACGCGAAAGCGUGGGGAGCAAACAGG